GAACUCUGGAAUGAGUCUUCACCCGAAAAGAGCUUACGUUAUGCUCGUGAGUUUCGCCUAAGGAUGAGGCCGCGACCGAUCAGGUUGUUGGUGAGGUAAUGGCUCACCAAGCCUUUACCGGUGCGGGCCGUGAGAGCGGGAGCCCGGAGAUGGGCACUGAGACAAGGGCCCAGGCCCUACGGGGCGCAGCAGUCGCGAAAACUUUGCAAUACACGAAAGUGUGACAGGGCUAUCCCGAGUGCCAUCCGCUGAGGAAGGCUUUUACCCAGUCUAGAACGCUGGGGGAAUAAGGAGAGGGCAAGUCUGGUGUCAGCCGCCGCGGUAAUACCAGCUCUCCGAGUGGUGUGGAUGUUUAUUGGGCCUAAAGCAUCCGUAGCUGGCUAAGUUAGUCCUUUGUUAAAUCCACCGAAUUAAUCGUUGGAUUGCGGGGGAUACUGCUUGGCUAGGGGACGAGAGAGGCAGACGGUAUUUCCGGGGUAGGGGUGAAAUCCUAUAAUCCCGGGAAGACCACCAGUGGCGAAGGCUGUCUGCUAGAACGCGCCCGACGGUGAGGGAUGAAAGCUGGGGGAGCGAACCGGAUUAGAUACCCGGGUAGUCCCAGCUGUAAACGAUGCAGGCUAGGUGUUUGGACGGCCACGUGCCGUUCUAGUGCCGCAGGGAAGCUGUUAAGCCUGCCGCCUGGGGAGUACGAUCGCAAGAUUGAAACUUAAAGGAAUUGGCGGGGGAGCACCACAACGGGUGGAGCUUGCGGUUUAAUUGGAUUCAACGCCGGG
rnacentral:rRNA from 1 species